rnacentral:rRNA from 1 species
AUUGAACGCUGGCGGCAGGCCUAACACAUGCAAGUCGAGCGGAUGAGAAGAGCUUGCUCUUCGAGUUAGCGGCGGACGGGUGAGUAAUGCCUAGGAAUCUGCCUGGUAGUGGGGGACAACGUUUCGAAAGGAACGCUAAUACCGCAUACGUCCUACGGGAGAAAGCAGGGGACAUUCGGGCCUUGCGCUAUCAGAUGAGCCUAGGUCGGAUUAGCUAGUUGGUGAGGUAAUAGCUCACCAAGGCGACGAUCCGUAACUGGUCUGAGAGGAUGAUCAGUCACACUGGAACUGAGACACGGUCCAGACUCCUACGGGAGGCAGCAGUGGGGAAUAUUGGACAAUGGGCGAAAGCCUGAUCCAGCCAUGCCGCGUGUGUGAAGAAGGUCUUCGGAUUGUAAAGCACUUUAAGUUGGGAGGAAGGGCAGUAAGCGAAUACCUUGCUGUUUUGACGUUACCGACAGAAUAAGCACCGGCUAACUCUGUGCCAGCCGCCGCCGUAAGAC